rnacentral:rRNA from 1 species
GGAUAACCUACCCUCAGGUGGGGGAUAACCCCGGGAAACUGGGGAUAAUACCCCAUAGACCAGGGACGCUGGAAUGCCCCCUGAUCGAAAGGUCCGCCGCCUGAGGAUGGGUCUGCGGCCGAUUAGGUUGUUGUUGGGGUAACGGCCCAACAAGCCUUUGAUCGGUACGGGUUGUGAGAGCAAGAGCCCGGAGAUGGAUUCUGAGACACAAAUCCAGGCCCUACGGGGCGCAGCAGGCGCGAAAACUUUACAAUGCGAGAAAUCGUGAUAAGGGAACCCCGAGUGCCCGUAAAUUCGGGCUGUCCAUCAGCGUAAAAAACUGGUGAAGAAAGGGCCGGGCAAGACCGGUGCCAGCCGCCGCGGUAAUACCGGCGGCUCGAGUGGUGGCCACUAUUACUGGGCUUAAAGCGUCCGUAGCUGGAUUGUUAAGUCUCUUGGGAAAUCCGCCGGCUUAACCGGCGGGCGUUCAGGAGAAACUGGCAAUCUAGGGACCGGGAGAGGUGAGAGGUACUCCAGGGGUAGGAGUGAAAUCCUGUAAUCCUUGGGGGACCACCUGUGGCGAAGGCGUCUCACUAGAACGGCUCCGACAGUGAGGGACGAAAGCUGGGGGAGCAAACCGGAUUAGAUACCCGGGUAGUCCCAGCUGUAAACGAUGCGCGUUAGGUGUAUCGGUGACCACGAGUCAUCGAGGUGCCGAAGGGAAACCGUGAAACGUGCCGCCUGGGAAGUACGGUCGCAAGGCUGAAACUUAAAGGAAUUGGCGGGGGAGCACCACAACGGGUGGAGCCUGCGGUUUAAUUGGACUCAACGCCGGGAAGCUCACCGGAUAAGACAGCUGGAUGAUAGCCGGGCUGAGACUCUGCUUGACUAGCU